rnacentral:lncRNA from 1 species
CCUUUCUCUACGAUCUCCCAUGCAUCUUGCGACCCGAGCAAUGCUUUCAUCCUUAUACUCCAAUUGUCGUAGUUAUCCUUGUUGAGUUGGGGGACUUGAAAAGGAAUCAUCCCACUUGCCAUUUUCACAAGAACCUUGGGGCUCUGAUACCAGUUUGUUGGAGGAAAGAUGGGUUUACUAACUUGGAUUAGCUAAGGCUUUUAAGAGGACAACACUAAUAGGAAGAAGGAAGUGAAAAAAAGGAAACUUGUAUUUCUCAAAUUCAAGACUUUACAAACUUUUUUGGCUUGUUACAAAAUGGAGGGCACUACCCCUUUAUAUAGUGUUUACAAGAAGAUUCUAGUCCACACAUUUUCUAGAGACACCUAGACCACAUAUCAAGAUAUUUUCCUAGAAUUCUCUAGAUAUUCUUUAUAAAACUACGUUUCUUACUUAGAUAUUUAUAUAGAUAUUUCUAGUAGAUAUUUAUAUAGAUUUUUCUAGAUAAUGCUUCUAGAAAUGCUAUGCAUGUUGGGCCUUUUAAUUGAUU